rnacentral:lncRNA from 1 species
UCUCUUCAAAAAUUGCAUAGUAAUAAUUUUCAAUUACAAGCCAUAUUCUUUUUAAAAGAUAUCAACUCUGAAAAAAAUAUAUUCUCUAGUCUUUUAAUAUAUACAGGUACAACUACAUUUUCUAUUCAUUACUGAUUUACUAUUUUUGCUAAUUAUUAACUUACAAUUUACAUGCAUGAGUCUGAUCUGGCUGUCUGUGUCUGUAAACGUGGCAAAUCUGGGUACAAGAGACCAUGUGUCAUGCUGUGGACUUUUGAAAUUAAAAGAGAAUUCUAUAAAGAUUAAGAGAUAAUAUUUCGACUACGGUUUGAAACCUUCUUGGGCCUGCUACACCUACAGUUAUAUAUCUUAUCGGGCUCCUAGCUAGAAAUAGGGGGGAAUGUUAAACAUAGAUAUGGACAUGUUAGAUCAAAUAUUUCCUAGCUAAUAUAUAUAUAAUAAUCAAUUUCCUUCCAAAUUGACUGUUCUUUGCAAUUUCAUUUUUUACCAGAUGGAUUAGUGAAAGAUUA